GUUCCACGCACAAGCGAAGAUCAAUUUUUCAGUUCAAUUCCUUUAGGAUGAGACCACCAGUCCUGACAGUACUACUGGUAAUCUAACCAAUAAUCUGUUUCCAUAGGCUGAGAUGGUUGAGGAGCUAGAUGAAUAAAAAGAAGUGCUUAGCCAUUUACUGAUGCUGUCUUACUGUGAAUGCCAACACGGACAGCAACAAACACAUCUACUUCUUUUAGUUAUAUAUUACGAAGAACUUCUUGUCCAUAUGCUGGACAACAGAUAAGACUUAUUCUUGCCUCUGUUAUGUCCACUGCAAAUACUUGUCACAACAGACAGCAUCCUUAAUUAAUGUUGCCUCUCUUUUGUUUAUUCUUAUAUCCUGAGGGAAGGUGUGACUCCUUUACAGACAACAGUCAGUCCUCUGUUUUAAAUUUUCUUUUAUUUGAAGGGCAGUCCAGUCAAGUCCAGGAGUAGUAAGUGAGGAGCUGUAAACAGGACCUCCUGGCAGUGGAGUCACUGCAACUUUCUGGGAGGGAGAAGGUGAGGCAGCAGGGAAGCUGGUGCUGUGUGGGCACAUCAGCAGGAGUAUUGGAUUGCCUCUGCCAAAGCACCCAUGCCGUUGAAUCUGCCUGCUGCCUCACACCCCCUAGUAUAUGGUAGUGACUCCGCUUCUGGGAGGUCAGGGGUGUGGUGCCACCGAUCCUUACCAGCCCCUCCUGGUCCAGUCCAGUUCCAAAUUAAACAUAAAGAACUAUAAGAAGGGAGAGCAUGGGCCCUGUAGUCACCCACCAACUGUUAACAACUAGACAGAACCCUAAGUAGGCCAGCAGGACCCUUGGGUCUUUCCCCAGAGGGUGAGUUGUCUUGAUUUCUGUUUAAAUUAUUGUAAUAAUUUCUGAAUGUGCAUCUAUAGCUGCAAAGAAGCACAUGCAAAUUGCAUGCAGAUCUGUGCACUGUUUUGUCCUCUCUUGUGAGGAUGCAUUUGCUCUUCUUGAGUGAUGUGUAGGUAGCCACCUUGGCAUUAUCCCUGAAAUGUAGAGUGAGAUGACAUACUUGCAUGUUGGGGUGGCUAACCUCUGGUCCUCCAGAUGUUGCUGCCCUUCACCUCCAAGGAGCCUCAACCAGUGUGGCCAAUGAUCAGAGAUGGUGCAAACUAUAGUCCAGCAACAUUUGGAGGGUUGCAGGUUAGCCACCCAUGCCUGCAUCAACUUUCUUCACCAUGGAACACAAAUCCUCUAUAAUGUGAGUGCAUGACCCAGAUGGAAACUUUCAGUCAGCACCACCACCAAAUCAUAAUAGUGCCUGAUCCUUGCCCUGUUUGUGCCUGACUUGCAUAACAGAGGAAGGAAGUCAUAAUAUGUCACAUUUUCUUGCAUGUGUUAUUUUUCUGGGUAAAGCGUGGACUGAAAUCUCUAUAUAGAAACUAAGAAGAACAUAACAAAAUUUCCAACUUUCUUUAUUACUUUCCCUCUUGACAGUUCCCACAUUUAGUAACACAAUAUUCCCACAUAAACCAGAUCAAAGUGACAAAAAAAAUGACACAAUUUUUAAUUGGUGUGAAAGGGCACAAUAUACCACAUAUAUAUAAAAAAGAUAUUCCCAUUCACUCCAAAGAGCAGGAAAAUUUCACAGUGGAUUGUGCCUAAAUUGGUUUCUUCUUUCAGGCUGAUGACUCAUUAAGAGUCCAAGGGUAAUUGAUUGAUGAUUCAGUAAUGGGAACUAUUGACAGGAGAUGAUUUCUUGGUAGCUGGGGUUCUCUCUCAGGUUUGAAGGAAGAGAUCCUGUCAAAGCUUGGUGAAGGUGAUGUUCUUCCAGCUGAGAGCUGAGAGAGCGCAAAAUGAUGUUGCAUGUAAAAGCAAUACCCAAGUAUGGUUUAACAAGCUAAGCUCCAUACCUCUGCCUGCACCAUUAUUGCCAUUCUCUCCCUCAGAGUUGGAGUGUAAAAGUCUGAAGCAGGAAAACUCCUCUACUUCUGAAGGCUCCUUAUGAGAUUUAGAACCCUGCAGACCUCUAGCAAAUAGUUCUUCUGUGCUUUUUAACGCAAGCUGACACAUCCUCAUUAUGUUGCACUGGUAACCAAUAUGGACUUCUACCUUGAAACUCUGGUGAUAGGCAUUCACACUUUAUAGAGGUUGGCAAUAGUAAUGGCUCCUUCUGGAAUGGUUGCAGCUGCCACAGUCUUUCUCCCUCUACCCUACUUUGUAAUUUCAUUGAGCAACAUUCAUCACUAAACGGAUAACACAUCUCCCCCUGUGGAACAAAAUUAAAACUUAACCAGAUUCACUAAAAUUAUACCACUAUUUCUUGACUUAACUCUCUACCCAGUGGACAGAUCUGCAGCACUUGAGGGAACAUGCUGUGUCUCUUUCAGUGUGGCCAGACAGCUAGAAUUCAACUUUUUGUUGCAAGCCAAAACUGGAAUAGCAAAUUGAGGUGGGGAAGAGGAAAGGGCUCCCUUCAGUGUCAAAGUGUAAAAGUUGAAUACUACAAGAGAAGGGAGUUUGAUACCUUCUUGCCCAGGGAGGAACCCCAGAGCCUCAAAAAGAGAGCUGCUUAACACUUGGUGUUGCUACUGGAGGAAGGGACAACUCUUUGAGGAAUGGCAGUAACUCAUGACACAACAUCUGCUUUGCAUGCAGAAGGUCCCAGGGUCAAUGCCCAGCAUCUCCAGGUAGAUAUGGGAGAGAAACCUCUUUGAAACCCUGGAGAGCCACUGUCCAUCAGUGAAAACAAUACUGAGCUAUGUGGACCAAUUGCCUGACUAGUAUAAGACUAUGCACCUAUGCUUGUUCCUAUGUACAGAAUGUAAGGGGCAAACAAAACAUUUCAUUUUUUCCAGAGCUGUGGAAACCCAUUGAUCUCCAAGAAAGAACUUUGGUCUGGUAAGUUCUCACCCACCUAGGAAUCAAAGGAUCUUCCAACUUUGUUUCUCCCUGUUUCUCAUUUUUCCAGCCUUAAAUUCAGUUCUCCACAUAUUUGCAGCAAUAUGCAGGGAAAAAAUGGGAGCGUUUUAUCACCCUUAAUUUUCCUUUCUGAAGAAAAGAAAACCUCUCCUAGACCGUUACCCCUGUCUUUCUAUUUAGAGUUUAUCUCCUCUCCAGUGCCACACAACCUGCAGGCUUCCUGGAGCCUGUUCCACACAAUUAUUUUUAGGCUGUGGGUGACAUGUUCAUUGAAUAAAUGCAGUUUUCUCCUGCCCUCCCUACUCUGGAUACCCGGUGACGCCGUUGUGUGAUUUAUUUAUUUGUUUCUAUUCAUAGGCUUCUCUUUCACAGGGGUUCAAAACAGGCUGCAGCAAUCAUUGUUUCAAAAUCUUCAUUUCUGUACCUGGAGGGCUUACCACCCAAGUCACUUUAAUUAAACAGCUUGGGAAAUGAAAGAGGUCAAAUGAAGUCAUUAAAAUUCUGUUUUUAAGGAGAUAACUUUUAAGAGUUAUACUUUAGCAAUACCGAAGACAUUUUAGCUUUCUGUUGCUAAACACUUGGAGCUGCUUCAUUCUGGUACAAAAAAGGGGCACUUGUUUUAAGGAACAAUUCUACUGUGUGGUUUAGGUCUUCUUGGACCCCCUUUGCAUGAAAUGGAAGCAAGGUUGAGAGCUACUUUCAAAAAUCCUAUUUCUAAUAUUCUUGUUUUCUCCAUGCAGGGAUGUUUGUAGAGAGCAUGGGGCUUCUCCACCUGUUAAGUCUGAAGUAGCAUGGUCCAGAAAUAACUCCAUGUGGAGGUCAACACCAAGCUGUGCAUUUAGACUAGCUGGGUGUCCUUUAGAUGUUUUAGACUCUCCCAUCACCUCCUUCCAUCUUGGCCAAUGGUCAGGGAAAUAUGGGAAUUGUAGUCCAACAGCAUCUGGAGGGCAACAGGUUGGGAGAGACUGGCUCAAGAAGUCUGUCUCUUCUGGGUUAGAGCAGGGUCAGUGUUCUACUUAUCCCUUUUCUAAUUAUUCCUGUUGCAGCAGUGGAUGUAAUGGGAAAAGAAGCAUGAAUUGGAAACCUCUCAGUCUUAUCCACACAGAGUAUCAUUCCCUGUCAUUGACAAUGCUGGCUGUGGCCUACUGCAGAACUGCCUCUCAUUGCUCCAGAGUAUCAUCAGCUGCCUGCUGACUUUAUGUUGUGCAAGAAUAUGUUAUUGCAUGCACGUGUGAAUGAUACCCACACAUUCCAAAAGGAAUUUAUGGACCCAUCACAGCCUCUAUUUUUGUAGGACUGUUCUUUAUUUCAAAAUAUUAUGGCUCCUGAUUGGACAUAGGAGCUUCUCUUCUUUUUCCAGAGACUGCAGCUCUGGGACAGCUGUUUUCUUGGAAUUUUGCAUUUGGCAAACUCUACUUUAAAAGGCCUUACUGGCUUACAGAAGCUGUGUCGGUUUCCCCUUUGAUAAAGGAUUUGGCUGCAGCCCUGGACUCAGUUACUCACUUAGUCCCAAUGAACUCAGUAGGCUUAACCAGGCAUAGCGGACUGCAGGAUUACAUUAUUUGUCACCUAUCUGGAUGCGUAGAAGCAUUAUGAGCUUUUAAUUCAAGUUCAUCUUUAUAAGGAAGCUUUAUGGGAUCUGCCAGAUGAGAUACCAACUGCAUGCUUAGUGACUACAUUAGAAUUUUUACAAUAAACAGUUGCAGAUUACCCAAGGGGAUGUAACCAGAUUCAAAUAAUGUCCAAGACACGGUAUUUUUAGUUUUAGUUUUUUGCUGACGCAUUUCCAAUUAAUGUUCCAUUACUUUUGCUGGAGGCAUGCAAGUUUUUGCAUACAAGGCACAAAGGAGGCAGUAGCUUUGGCGUCGUUAAAGUCAAUAGGCUGUUUUCUCCCAAGUUACUUCCAUCGUCCAUUCGUGUGUAUCUGUUUCUAUAACGGACAAUAGAACACUCCGAUUUUCACACUUGACCUCCACCUUCCCUUUAAAACAGACCUAUGAUUAAGUAGAGACCACUUUUGUAUCUCUUUUGUAAACUUUGUGAGGGCUGAAGGUGAGCUCACUGCAUUAAUUUUACUGUAGGUUUUCUCCCCAGAAUUGUUUUAUCUCCAGGUUUCAAAAUCUUGAUUAUGAUGGUAGGGCUUCUGUCACAUUUUCUAACGUUCCUUUCGCACUGCAGUAACUACUGUGUUAUGGAACUGUGGCUUUUUGACAGAUAAACCAGCAUGUUGCACUACAUUGCAUUCACACCAAUAGACAUGGUGUGACACAACAAAUGCCAUUGGACAGUGUUGCUACUCUGUCACCUUGCCGGACACGUGUGCUUCUCUGUUCCUCCAUGAUUCACCCAUGAAAAUGGCAGGAAAGAACUGUAGGCUGGUAUAUACCACUCCACAUUUUGUCACUUUACUCCAGUGAUUUCCUGGGUUAAUGGGGCUGCAAAUUGAUGUUUUGCGCUGGAAGCAAUUAACACAGAAAUGAGUACUAAAUUUCCACUAGAUUCCACUAGCUUUCUGGAAUUGGUUUUUACGUUGUGUGAAAGCUCAAAUAUAAUGCAGGUAUUAAGUUUACGAAACAUUGCAGAAAUGGUGUGUGAAUGCAACCUCUGAACCAUUCUAGGUAGGUGUCAUCAGGGGUAACCAUUCAGAGAGCACAACUUCUGAGCCUUGGUAGUGUGAAGAAGUCCUGACCAAAAUUAAUGCAAAAGGACAAAAACAUUGAUCUGAUUCUUAAUAUUUUUUUGAUGUUGGAAACAAAGAAGAAGCCCACUUUGCAAUGCGUAACAUGCAAUUAUUCUAACUGUGAGAGAAAGCACUUUGGGUUGUUGAUUAGAUUUUCACAUUAGAUAGAAGCCUGCUCUUCUCCUUGUCACCUAUCAGUUCUGUCAUAUUCUACAAAGGAUGUGGUGCCUUUGUUCUGUUGCUUAUGAAUCUGUUUGGUAGAUUAAUCUCUCCUAUGUGCUCUGCAUUUAAAGCAUGUUUUCAGCUUGGUUCUCCCUUGCAUUUUCUGCUAUUGUCCAGAGGUGGUGCUGAGUGCUCAGGUACUACAUUGUUUAAAAUGGUCAAGAACAGGAAGAAGAAUCUUCAUUCUCUCUUUAGUGAUCAUUGCACCCUACAAGUGGUAAGGAAAAGGGGGGGGUGACACUUUAAAAAAUGGAAAUACAAACCAGUAUGUUUAAUAAGCACUGUGCACUGAAUGAGUUUCUAAGACAAAGGCUGAUAUUCCAUGUGCACUCAUCUGGGGAGUGCUGUUUUAAAUUCUUAUUUUCUUAGUAUGUCCCUUUUUUUGCAUUGUUUGAAUUCUUCUUUUAUCUUGCUGCAUCCCCCGCAUCUGCUUUAAAUUAUUACUGUAUAUAAGAACAUUAAAAGAUCCUUGCCUGAUCAGACCAAAGGCCUAUCUAGUAGAAAUGUGCACCAACCACAAUAUUCAGUUUCAACUCAGAGCUUCAAAAAACAACACAGUUGGACUUGAUUGUUCAAAUCCGCUUUGUUUUCCCCAUCCACAUUCACUAUUGGGAAGUUUUAAAAUGCUUAUAACUUUUUUUAUUUGACAGAAGUGGAUAAAAUUUGCAAGCAUGGUAGCCCCUCCAGAUUUGUGCAAAUUACAAGUAAAUAAUUCUAGGGACUUUUGUGCUGAACAACUCUAAAAUGUGAUCACCACUCUUCUGCUGCAGAAGGGAACCAUCUCUAACAUUUUUUUUGCAGAACUGGGUGAAAUUUGCAUGCAAGGCCAUCCCUCUGAGGGCAUAAAUUUGAGAAGGACUCCUUCACUUCCUGAGUAAUCAUUCCUGCUCUUUAAAAGUGAGAUCAGUCAGUUGUGCAUGAGUGCUUCUUCACCUUUCCCCAUUCUGACAUCUUACCUCCGCUUAGAGACAUAAAACUUAACCUUGCAGUGCUGUUCCCUGCAACUGGUAUUGUAGAACACUGGCCAAUCCCUCUGAUUACAACGCAGACAACAGCCUUAUUCCUCUGUGUCCUUGCCCCACUCUGUAUUUGCUCUCCUCUUCUCUCCGUUAGCCCACCCCGGUGUUAUGGAAAGAUUAGAGACAUUGCUUUUGCUUUCAAAAAUGACUGCAGCAUUUUUCAAAAUAUCUGGAUGACUAAGGUGCCACUAAGUGAUUCAGGGCUCUGCACUUUGAAUCAUGUUGCCUUGUAGAGAUUCCAGUACAGCUGACACGACUAGUACCCAUUGCUUGCUUUAUCUUCCAUGAAUUUGUCUAAACCUCAUAGAUAGAUGAUAGAUAGAUAGAUGGAUAGAUAGAUAGAUGAUAGAUAUAGUUUGACCCUUAAUUUUUAUUCAGCCUCAGAAUUAAUGUACUUUUUUUGAAUUUGUCUAAACCUCUUUUAAAGUUAUCCAGGUAAUAGAAAAGUAGGAUAUAAAUUAUUAACUAUUCACUUGUCAGGGACUGGACUGAAGAGGAGGAGGAAUGGUGGAAGUCACCCUCCCCUUCUCCGGUAACUCUCAGAGAAAAGGGAGGCAGUCUCAAAUUACAGCAGAGCUUUGAGGAACAUAAUAGCUCAGAGACAGGUGAAGAGCAGAGUUAUGAGGUGUUAGGAGGAGGAGGAGGGGAGGCAGAGCAGCUAGCUGACAUGUCACUGAACAGCAUAACUGACCCUCCUUCUCCCAAAAUGCGGCGUUCAUUAUGUGUGCAAGAACAAAGGGCACAGAGGCAGUUGACCAUGGACGGAAGCCAUAGAGGAAGGUGUUGUUGCUAAGAGUGAAGGGGGAGGAGCUCAGUGUGAACAAUGCCAUCAGUGAGGAAUGACAGGAUUAUUUGUCUUUCACUGUGAUACUGAAAUAAAUAAUAAGUAAGAACUUUCUUGUUUCCUCCCUGCUUCUUGGUGCCAUCAGGGGAGGGAAAGAAUUCUUCACACCUGAUAUCACCUAACUUGGGGAAAAGCCUCAUUGAAUGUGUGAAGACUUUUGAAUAAACAUGCACAACAUCAUGUUUCACAGUUUCAAUUGUAUUAAAACAAAGACAGCAGCUUGAAAGGAGGGAUAGACAGAGACCUGAUUGCAUUAGAAUGAUCAUGUUCUCUUUGGUGUUUUCUUCUAUCAUUCUUCCCCCCCACCUCCCCUCAAAAACCCAGACACCUUUCAGGAUUGGGAUGUGGUAUCACAGUGGCUCAAGAGUAUCUUGAUGUCAAAGGUAGAGUGAUAGCCAACUAAUUCAUACCCAAAUGAGACCCACUGAAAUAAAGUCUACUUUCAGUGGGUCUACUUUAUGAUUGAUUAACACUGGAUAUCACACAUAGUUUCUGACUUCUUACAAUGAAUGACUACUGAUUGAUUAUUCUUGUUGGUGGUGGAAAAUCACACUGUGUAUAUGCUCAGAAGUCCUGUUUGGGAGUUCAGUUUUGCAUUUUAAAAAAUCAGACUGUGACAUUACCACAGCAGAUUUGAAGUGAAGGCAUGUGGCAAAAUAUGUUCAGAGAAGGAGAAACACUGUGUGGGUUUAAUCAGGGGAAAAAUCCAUGGAGAUAAUUGUCAUAAUUAGUUAUACUGAUUUAGAUAUAACUCUGAUUAUAAUGAGCUACAUUGUGUCAGUCAGCACAUAGCUGGCUGUGCUGUUUUCUUGGGAAUUCUUGAAAUAAGAUACCUCAGUCUGAAUCCUCCCCUCCCUUUUCAUUUCAUAUGAAAAUCCAUCAUGUUAUGUGAGCAAAUCCUUAGCACAAUAAAGGGAUCACCAUUUCUUUCAGAUGUCUCUUCUAUGGAAGAAGAUACUCAACAUGCAUCUGGAGCUCAGAUUAUAUUUAAAAUGCUCACCUCAUUUUGGGUACUCUAAGGAUGGAUUACCAAGAAAUAGUCCAUCUGGAGCAAUCCUCAAGCACUAUUACUGGCAAUUAAGAAUUGUAUACUGUAGAUGUAAAUAAAUGGAAUAUUUGUAUCAUGG